rnacentral:rRNA from 1 species
GACAGGUGCUGCAUGGCUGUCGUCAGCUCGUGUUGUGAAAUGUUGGGUUAAGUCUCGCAACGAGCGCAACCCCUAUCUUUAGUUGCCAGCAUUAAGUUGGGCACUCUAGAGAGACUGCCCGGGUUAACCGGGAGGAAGGUGGGGAUGACGUCAAGUCCUCAUGGCCCUUAUGCCUAGGGCUACACACGUAAUACAAUGGUACAUACAGAGGGACGCGAGCAGGUGACUGUUAGCAAAUCUCAAAAAGUGUAUCUCAGUCCGGAUUGGAGUCUGCAACUCGACUCCAUGAAGUUGGAAUCGCUAGUA